GACGAACGCUGGCGGCGUGCUUAACACAUGCAAGUCGAACGGAAAGGCCCUGCUUUUGUGGGGUGCUCGAGUGGCGAACGGGUGAGUAACACGUGAGUAACCUGCCCUUGACUUUGGGAUAACUUCAGGAAACUGGGGCUAAUACCGGAUAGGAGCUCCUGCUGCAUGGUGGGGGCUGGAAAGUUUCGGCGGUUGGGGAUGGACUCGCGGCUUAUCAGCUUGUUGGUGGGGUAGUGGCUUACCAAGGCUUUGACGGGUAGCCGGCCUGAGAGGGUGACCGGCCACAUUGGGACUGAGAUACGGCCCAGACUCCUACGGGAGGCGGCAGUGGGGAAUAUUGCACAAUGGGCGGGAGCCUGAUGCAGCAACGCCGCGUGCGGGAUGACGGCCUUCGGGUUGUAAACCGCUUUCGCCUGUGACGAAGCGUGAGUGACGGUAAUGGGUAAAGAAGCACCGGCUAACUACGUG
rnacentral:rRNA from 1 species